rnacentral:ribozyme from 1 species
CUCGCCUCGGCCUCCGCCAUCUUUCGCGCGCGCGGCGUGCGCGAGAUGACGCUGCAGGUGGAACGUCGCACCUCCUCGUCGCCGUACCCGAUGCGAUCUCCGCCAGACCCAACCGCC